rnacentral:rRNA from 1 species
GACGAACGCUGGCGGCGUGCUUAACACAUGCAAGUCGAACGGAAAGGCCCUGCUUUUGUGGGGUGCUCGAGUGGCGAACGGGUGAGUAACACGUGAGUAACCUGCCCUUGACUUUGGGAUAACUUCAGGAAACUGGGGCUAAUACCGGAUAGGAGCUCCUGCUGCAUGGUGGGGGUUGGAAAGUUUCGGCGGUUGGGGAUGGACUCGCGGCUUAUCAGCUUGUUGGUGGGGUAGUGGCUUACCAAGGCUUUGACGGGUAGCCGGCCUGAGAGGGUGACCGGACACAUUGGGACUGAGAUACGGCCCAGACUCCUACGGGAGGCAGCAGUGGGGAAUAGUGCACAAUGGGCGGAAGCCUGAUGCAGCAACGCCGCGUGCGGGAUGACGGCCUUCGGGUUGUAAACCGCUUUCGCCUGUGACGAAGCGUGAGUGACGGUAAUGGGUAAAGAAGCACCGGCUAACUACGUG